AAGGUGUUGGGAGGAGAUGUCGGUUGGAGGAGAAAGUUACAGUACAGAGAAAAAGUUCGAGUUAGAGAUGUCGGUUACUAAGUCCAAGGAGAAUGUUCAACUUAUGUCAGACGCCUCAAGCCUAAUUGCUAAUCAAAUGGUUUGUUGCUGACUUGCUGUUUGUUGUUACUGAUUAUGAACAAUGGAAUGUUAUAUUCAUGUUCUAAACCCAUAUUGUUGAACUUCACAGCAAGAUUUGUUGCUGAAAAUUUCAACAUUAGAAUCUGAAAUUUCAACACUAGAAGGGAAAGCAGAGGAGAUUGAAGCUCUUGAAAAAGUGAUUGCAACACGAGACCAACAUAUGUGAUUCUCUAGUGAACCAAGUCAUCCAUCUGCAUGAAAUUUUAGAUAAGAAGGAGCAUCUUCAUAUACAAUUUGAGGAGAAGCAGAAGCUGUUAGAGGAGAAAAGAGCAGAGGUUAAAAAAAAAAACUUAUUAACUAAUUGAUUCUUCUUCGUCUUCUUUUAGUUACUAGUAUUCACUGAAUUUUGCUCAACUAUUAGAUCUGUCUUCAGAUUCAGCCAUCACUUGCCUUGGCUGAAAACACACUAAUAGAAGCAAGAAAACAAUAAGAUUUGAUGCUAGAAGGAAUGCAGAUGGAGUUGAUGAAGCAUUUAAAGGAAAUUUCUCGGCAAAAUGAUCAGAAGAUGAAUGUUGAAAGGAUGCAAACGGGAUUUAUUUUGGACUGGUGAUCGACUCCGAAGUGCCCUUUUAUAUCAAGGAAUUAUUAAACAGCCUUGUAGUCUUUUGCAUUUAAAGCUUGGAAGGAAACCCAGUCAGAUACCCUGUUUAAAGCUCCUCUUUUGUAGCAACACAAAGAUUAAGAUGAGCAUCAACAAAACAGUCUGUUGGGAGCUAGAGGCAGGAAGGAAAGUGUGUCAUCAACUCUCUUUGGGAGAGUGAAGGUGGCACAGUGCAAUGCCGCAUAUGGCCGUGCAAUGUUAAUUUGUCCAUCAUGUAUCCUAACCCCAUCCUCGUAGUUGCCCUUUUUUUACCCAACAUUCUUUGUUGCUUGACGGGCAUUUUAGACAGCAUUGAGAUGUUGGUAUUUGACAGCAAUAGCUACCAAUGUUGUCACCGUCGUCAAUUUACUAUUCAAAUUGUAUCACAUUUUACUAUUUGAAUUGUAUCAAACAAAGAAAUCAAGUAUGUUGGUGUUUGACAGCAAUAGCUACCAAUGUUGUAUUUGAAAGCAA